rnacentral:rRNA from 1 species
GAUGAACGCUGGCGGCGUGCCUAAUACAUGCAAGUCGAGCGAACGGACGAGAAGCUUGCUUCUCUGAUGUUAGCGGCGGACGGGUGAGUAACACGUGGAUAACCUACCUAUAAGACUGGGAUAACUUCGGGAAACCGGAGCUAAUACCGGAUAAUAUUUUGAACCGCAUGGUUCAAAAGUGAAAGACGGUCUUGCCGUCACUUAUAGAUGGAUCCGCGCUGCAUUAGCUAGUUGGUAAGGUAACGGCUUACCAAGGCAACGAUGCAUAGCCGACCUGAGAGGGUGAUCGGCCACACUGGAACUGAGACACGGUCCAGACUCCUACGGGAGGCAGCAGUAGGGAAUCUUCCGCAAUGGGCGAAAGCCUGACGGAGCAACGCCGCGUGAGUGAUUAAGGUCUUCGGAUCGUAAAACUCUGUUAUUAGGGAAGAACAUAUGUGUAAGUAACUGUGCACAUCUUGACGGUACCUAAUCAGAAAGCCACGGCUAACUACGUG